rnacentral:rRNA from 1 species
AGUGAACGCUGGCGGUAGGCCUAACACAUGCAAGUCGAACGGCAGCACAGUAAGAGCUUGCUCUUACGGGUGGCGAGUGGCGGACGGGUGAGGAAUACAUCGGAAUCUACUUUUUCGUGGGGGAUAACGUAGGGAAACUUACGCUAAUACCGCAUACGACCUACGGGUGAAAGCAGGGGAUCUUCGGACCUUGCGCGAUUGAAUGAGCCGAUGUCGGAUUAGCUAGUUGGCGGGGUAAAGGCCCACCAAGGCGACGAUCCGUAGCUGGUCUGAGAGGAUGAUCAGCCACACUGGAACUGAGACACGGUCCAGACUCCUACGGGAGGCAGCAGCGGGGAAUAUUGGACAAUGGGCACAAGCCUGAUCCAGCCAUACCGCGUGGGUGAAGAAGGCCUUCGGGUUGUAAAGCCCUUUUGUUGGGAAAGAAAAGCAGCGGGUUAAUACCCCGCUGUUCUGACGGUACCCAAAGAAUAAGCACCGGCUAACUUCGUG